GAUGAACGCUGGCGGCGUGCCUAACACAUGCAAGUCGAACGAAGCGCCUUUUGAGAUUCUUCGGAUGAUUGAUUGGUGUCUGAGUGGCGGACGGGUGAGUAACGCGUGGGUAACCUGCCCUGUACAGGGGGAUAACAGCUGGAAACGGCUGCUAAUACCGCAUAAGCGCACGAGGAGACAUCUCCUUGUGUGAAAAACUCCGGUGGUACAGGAUGGGCCUGCGUCUGAUUAGCUGGUUGGCAGGGUAACGGCCUACCAAGGCAACGAUCAGUGGCCGGUCUGAGAGGAGGAACGGCCACAUUUGAACUGAGACACGGUCCAAACUCCUACGGGAGGCAGCAGUGGGGAAUAUUGCACAAUGGGGGAAACCCUGAUGCAGCAACGCCGCGUGAGUGAAGAAGUAUUUCGGUAUGUAAAGCUCUAUCAGCAGGGAAGAUAAUGACGGUACCUGACUAAGAAGCUCCGGCUAAAUACGUGCCAGCCGCCGCGGUAAUAC
rnacentral:rRNA from 1 species